rnacentral:rRNA from 1 species
UACGGAGGGGGCAAGCGUUAUUCGGAAUUACUGGGCGUAAAGCGCGCGCAGGUGGCUUGGUAAGUGGCAGGUGAAAUCCCUCGGCUCAACCGAGGAACUGCCUGCCAAACUGCUGAGCUUGAGGCUGGGAGGGGAGAGCGGAAUUCCUGGUGUAGCGGUGAAAUGCGUAGAUACCAGGAGGAACACCGGUGGCGAAGGCGGCUCUCUGGACCAGUUCUGACACUCAUGCGCGAAAGCGUGGGUAGCAAACAGG